GAAGGCCCUCUGGGUUGUAAACUGUCUUUUAUCUGGGACGAAAAAAGGGUAUUCUUACUCACUUGACGGUACCAGAGGAAUAAGCACCGGCUAACUCCGUGCCAGCAGCCGCGGUAAUACGGAGGGUGCAAGCGUUAUCCGGAUUCACUGGGUUUAAAGGGAGCGUAGGUGGGCUGAUAAGUCAGUGGUGAAAUCUCCGGGCUUAACCCGGAAACUGCCNUUGAUACUAUCAGUCUUGAAUUAUCUGGAGGUAAGCGGAAUAUGUCAUGUAGCGGUGAAAUGCUUAGAUAUGACAUAGAACACCAAUUGCGAAGGCAGCUUGCUACGGAUUGAUUGACACUGAGGCUCGAAAGCGUGGGGAUCAAACAGGAUUAGAUACCCUGGUAGUCCACGCCCUAAACGAUGGAUACUCGACAUCAGCGAUACACUGUUGGUGUCUGAGCGAAAGCAUUA
rnacentral:rRNA from 1 species